rnacentral:rRNA from 1 species
AAACCAACAGGGAUUGCCCCAGUAACGGCGAGUGAAGCGGCAAGAGCUCAAAUUUGAAAUCUGGUCUCCCCCGGGGGCCCGAGUUGUAAUUUGCAGAGGAUGCUUCGGGUGCGGCCGCCGUCUAAGUUCCUUGGAACAGGACGUCAGAGAGGGUGAGAAUCCCGUCUUGGGCGGGCGGUCCGCGCCCGUGUGAAGCUCCUUCGACGAGUCGAGUUGUUUGGGAAUGCAGCUCUAAGCGGGUGGUAAAUUUCAUCUAAAGCUAAAUAUUGGCCGGAGACCGAUAGCGCACAAGUAGAGUGAUCGAAAGGUUAAAAGCACCUUGAAAAGGGAGUUAAACAGCACGUGAAAUUGUUGAAAGGGAAGCGCUUGCGGCCAGAUUCGGGGGCGGGGUUCAGCGGGUGCUCGUCGCCCGUGUAUUCCUCGUCUCCCGGGCCAGCAUCAGUUUCGACGGCCGGUCAAAGGCCCCCGGAAUGUGUCGUCUCUCGGGACGUCUUAUAGCCGGGGGUGCAAUGCGGCCCGUCGGGACUGAGGAACGCGCUCCGGCUCGGAUGCUGGCGUAAUGGCCGUAAGCGGC